CCAAUAGCGUAUAUUAAAGUUGUUGCAGUUAAAAAGCUCGUAGUUGAAUUUUGGGUUUGGCCGAUUGGUCCGUUCUUGUAGCGAGUACUGGUCGGUUGGGCCUCACCGCUUGGGGAAGGGUAAUGUCCUUUAUUGGGUGUUGCUCGGAGCCAAGACCUUUACCUUGAAAAAAUUAGAGUGUUUAAAGCAGGCUUAUGCCGGAAUACAUUAGCAUGGAAUAAUAGAAUAGGACAACGAUUCUAUUUUGUUGGUUUCUAGGACCGUUAUAAUGAUUAAUAGGGAUAGUUGGGGGCAUUAGUAUUCAAUUGUCAGAGGUGAAAUUCUUGGAUUUAUUGAAGACUAACUACUGCGAAAGCAUUUGCCAAGGAUGUUUUCAUUAAUCAAGAACGAAAGUUAGGGGAUCGAAGACGAUCAGAUACCGUCGUAGUCUUAACCAUAAACUAUGCCGACUAGGGAUCGGGCGAUGUUGUUUCAAUGACUCGCUCGGCACCUUAUG
rnacentral:misc_RNA from 1 species